rnacentral:lncRNA from 1 species
GCUUUGGCUAGAACUAGAUUCUAUCGCCUUUGCCAUAAUCAGGUCCAUUUUGUCGCUUUGGCCUUAAUGGACCAAGAUUUAUUUUGUCCCUAUGCCCUUAAUAAUUCUAUCCCAUCUUGAUGUUAUGGCCUUGAUGCAGAUCAAAGUCGCUUUUGAUCAGAGUUGGACUAUAAAGCAUCGUUCUGUGAUCUAGAAGUAGAUCCAUUUUGUCGCUAUGGCCUUAAUGGAUAAAGAAUCAUUUUGUCUCUAUGGCCUUGAUGAUACUAUCCCAUCUUGUCGCUAUGGCCUUAAUGUGGAUCACACUUAACCUUUCUUUGGGGAGGGUGGGGAUACUGGCAUUACACGCAUGUCAUCUUAUGCUCUCUGCAGGGGGUACUGCUGAUACAUGCCUGAUUACGUCAGUCACUCCGAGCAAUGCCCUUCAACAAAGACUAGAGUUUCGUUCGCUUUAUGCCGGGCCCCUGGAAGGCUGCCACGAUUGCGAAACAAAGGUUACCGUCAAAUC